UACGUAGGGGGCGAGCGUUGUUCGGAAUUACUGGGCGUAAAGGGCGUGUAGGCGGGGAGGUAAGUCGGGUGUGAAAUCCCUCGGCCCAACCGAGGAACUGCGCCCGAGACUGCUUCUCUUGAGUCCCGGAGAGGAAGGUGGAAUUCCCGGUGUAGCGGUGAAAUGUGUAGAGAUCGGGAGGAACACCGGUGGCGAAGGCGGCCUUCUGGACGGUGACUGACGCUGAGGCGCGAAAGCGUGGGGAGCAAGCGGG
rnacentral:rRNA from 1 species